rnacentral:rRNA from 1 species
UACGGAGGGUGCAAGCAUUGAUCGGAAUUACUGGGCGUAAAGCGUGCGCAGGCGGUUUUGUAAGUCAGAUGUGAAAUCCCCGGGCUUAACCUGGGAACUGCGUUUGAAACUACAAGGCUAGAGUGUGACAGAGGGGGGUGGAAUUCCACGUGUAGCAGUGAAAUGCGUAGAUAUCUGGAGGAACACCGGUGGCGAAGGCGGCAUCCUGGACCGGCAUUGACGCUGAGGCGCGAAAGCCAGGGGAGCAAACGGG